rnacentral:misc_RNA from 1 species
AGUAAAGUCAUCAUUUGGAUAUUGCUUUAACAUCUCAACAAGAAGGUCGCUGUGAGCCUAAACAUAAGCAUUUGCAUCUUUAUCGAUUACUUUGUCAUCUUUGGCCUUAAGUUUAUCCUUCAAUUUAGCCAGUUCAGAAGCUUGGCUCACUUUCACAUCUCAAGCUCCUUCUGUAGCUGUACUAUAAGCUCCUUAGAUGAUUUUACCUUAUCCUCCAGCUCUUGCACCCUGACACUAGCAUUAGAUAGGUGACUUUUCAAAGUCACUGCUUCACCAACAGCUUGGACAUCUUCCACCUUAGGAAGUUCAUCUUUUCCUUAAGCACGUGUUAAGUGGCAAUUGACUCCAAUUGUAGACUCAUGGCGUGGUGUA